CAGUUAAAUGUUAAAUUUUGGAAGCACAUUUAUUACAAUUUUGUAACUGCAUUUAACAAUGAGCCGUCAUGUCAAGUGCUUCGUUUUUAUUCUCAUUUUUACAUUCCUUCACUUUGGCGUAAACGGGAAGAAAAAAAUGUUAAUCAGGAAAUUUGAUAUGUGUGACCCACACUACGAUUAUCCCAUUACUCUCGAAACAACUUUCAAGGAACAGGGUGGUCAUCAAUACUUGAAUAUUACAGCUUUUGUUAACACUCCUCUUGGCCUCAACCAAUCAAUGAACGCUACAUUUGAAUAUUCAGAGAACCAAGACAAUUUUAUGCCUUUGUUUAAAUUUUCCAGAUCGGAUUUUUGUGAUUUCUUGAAUAAAGAUUUAGGAGCGUUCUGGUUUGAACUGCAAAAGCAAAUUGGUGUUGCUCCACGGACCUGCCCUAUAGGAAAUGGUCGAUACAAUUUGAAGAACUACGAACUUCCUAUGUUCAAAUUGAACUUUCCGUUACCCUCUGGAUUUAUUCGUACGAUUUUAAACAUCCUGGAAACGAAAACUAACAAAAUGAUAUCAUGUGUUUCUGUUUUGUUGGAAGUAAUGAGCAAAUAAUAAACUUGAUUUCAAGUUCGGACUAAUUUUACAGUUUGGCUAAUGCGUAUGAGUUACAGUUGCUUUCAAAGCUAUCUAACAGUUUGAUAUGUACCGACCUAACUCAUUAAUUAAAUAUGUAUUAGAAGUCAUCAUAUGGAAGGCUUGUAAAAUUAUUAUAUUUAUGUAGACAUCAAAG